CUCUCCCCAUACUUGCCUCAAGUGGUGCCUGGUCUCAAGGAGGUGUUGUUGGAUCCUAUCCCCGAUGUGAGGGCUACUUCUGCGAAGGCUCUGGGUGGAUUGAUGU
rnacentral:sRNA from 1 species